rnacentral:rRNA from 1 species
GACGAACGCUGGCGGCGUGCUUAACACAUGCAAGUCGAACGAUGAUGCUGGAGCUUGCUCCAGUUGAUUAGUGGCGAACGGGUGAGUAACACGUGAGCAAUCUGCCCUUGACUCUGGGAUAACUGCGGGAAACUGUAGCUAAUACCGGAUACUUUCACCGGGGGGCAUCCUCUGGUGAUGAAAGAAUUUCGGUCAAGGAUGAGCUCGCGGCCUAUCAGCUUGUUGGUGAGGUAACGGCUCACCAAGGCGACGACGGGUAACCGGCCUGAGAGGGUGACCGGUCACACUGGGACUGAGACACUGCCCAGACUCCUACGGGAGUCAGCAGUGGGGAAUAUUGCACAAUGGGCGCAAGCCUGAUGCAGCAACGCCGCGUGAGGGAUGAAGGCCUUCGGGUUGUAAACCUCUUUUAGCAGGGAAGAAGCGAAAGUGACGGUACCUGCAGAAAAAGCACCGGCUAACUACGUGCCAGCCGCCGCGGUAA